rnacentral:rRNA from 1 species
GAUGAACGCUGGCGGCGUGCCUAAUACAUGCAAGUCGAGCGAACGGACGAGAAGCUUGCUUUUCUGAUGUUAGCGGCGGACGGGUGAGUAACACGUGGAUAACCUACCUAUAAGACUGGGAUAACUUCGGGAAACCGGAGCUAAUACCGGAUAAUAUUUUGAACCGCAUGGUUCAAAAGUGAAAGACGGUCUUGCUGUCACUUAUAGAUGGAUCCGCGCUGCAUUAGCUAGUUGGUAAGGUAACGGCUUACCAAGGCAACGAUGCAUAGCCGACCUGAGAGGGUGAUCGGCCACACUGGAACUGAGACAUGGUCCAGACUCCUACGGGAGGCAGCAGUAGGGAAUCUUCCGCAAAGGGCGAAAGCCUGACGGAGCAACGCCGCGUGAGUGAUGAAGGUCUUCGGAUCGUAAAACUCUGUUAUUAGGGAAGAACAUAUGUGUAAGUAACUGUGCACAUCUUGACGGUACCUAAUCAGAAAGCCACGGCUAACUACGUG